AUGAAGGUAAGGGGAGAGACUGUAUAUACAGCGCCGAAGGAGCAAGCAAAUUUUUGUGAAUCUCUCAGGCAAAAGAACUCUUGCUGGACG
rnacentral:ncRNA from 1 species